GGAGUCUGGGCCGUGUCUCAGUCCCAAUGUGGCCGUUCAACCUCUCAGUCCGGCUACCGAUCGCGGUCUUGGUGAGCCGUUACCUCACCAACUAACUAAUCGGACGCGAGUCCAUCUCUGAGCGAUAAAUCUUUGACAUAUCUUCCAUGCGAAAAAUAUGUGUUAUGCGGUAUUAGCGUUCUUUUCAGAACGUUAUUCCCCUCUCAGAGGCAGGUUACUCACGCGUUACUCACCCGUCCGCCACUAAACUGAAAAUCAAUCAUCCGAAGAAUCUUUCAAAACAGUUCCGUUCGACUUGCAUGUGUUAGGCACGCCGCCAGCGUUCGUCCUGAGCCAUGAUCAAACUACU
rnacentral:rRNA from 1 species